rnacentral:rRNA from 1 species
UAACGCGUGGAUAACCUGCCUCACACUGGGGGAUAACAGUUAGAAAUGACUGCUAAUACCGCAUAAGCGCACAGUACCGCAUGGUACAGUGUGAAAAACUCCGGUGGUGUGAGAUGGAUCCGCGUCUGAUUAGCCAGUUGGCGGGGUAACGGCCCACCAAAGCGACGAUCAGUAGCCGACCUGAGAGGGUGACCGGCCACAUUGGGACUGAGACACGGCCCAG